GACCUCGGAUCCAGACGUGAAUACCCCCUGAAUUAAGCAUAUCACUAA
rnacentral:rRNA from 1 species